rnacentral:lncRNA from 1 species
CCAUCUGGUUUGCCAGCACAGCUAGAGUGAGUUUCAGUGGUGCGUCAGCAGCCUGCUCCUUGUGGGUUACUGCUGUGGCAAAGUCAUCUCAGCCACCUUUGCCUCCCAUGGAGCAGUCCCUGCUCUUCAUUCUUGGGCUGGCCUUGCUGGUCUCUGGGAUCAAUGCUGACUACAGGGGGUUUCCUAUAGAGCAAGUAGAUCAGAUGCUAAGGACAGGAACAUAGAAUCAUAGAAUGAUUUGGGUUGGAAGGGACCUUGGAAGAUCAUCUUGUCCAAACCCUGCCAUGGGCAGGGACACCAGGAUGCGCUGCUGAAGUCAAGGUGGAAGCAAAUGUCUGGGGACUACACUGCUAAUCUGCAUAAAUAAAUAGUAAAUUUUUUACAUCAACCAGACCUGUGGAGGCAUUUGAAGGCCCUGGUAGUGUCACUGGGAUGUCCUUUCACCCUCUGGUUUGUGGUAUAUUGUUCCUGUUCCCCAUUUACAGCUUUGCAGCCUGCCCUUUAGUUCCACUGGAGAAUCCCACACAUUGAAAUUUGUCUAUUGCUUCCCCAAACUCUGAUCCAGCCACUCCCUCUGCUCCUCAAAACACUGGUAUAUGAAGUGGGGUUUUUUCCCAAAUGUCAUUUUUAGCUUCUUACCCACUUACUAGUCACUGAAAUAGUGGGAAUCAUUGUCACCACCAUUUUGCUCAAUUAUUAUUUUUCUUUCUCUUGCUAAUGUCUUUGUUUGUUUGUUUAUUUAUUUGUUUGUUUUUAAGGAAUAGUGUUUUAUCAGACCUGGAUGUGGUGCCAGAGAUCUCUUACCUAAGGAGGAGGAAAGAAAUCAGAACACAAGGCAAUCAGAUUCCCAUCUUCCUGUCUAGACUUGUAGUUGGAAAAAGCUCUCCAGGAACCGGCUCUUCCGUUGCUGUCUCUGGCACAGUGCUCCCUUGGGCUGGGUGAUAGGCCGCUCCACUCCGUCCAUUCUGCAGCAUCUCCUGCAUCCCUCUGAAGAGUCCCAAGAAAGGAGCAACAUCCUUAAUCAGAUGUCCACAGAAUCCCUGGGGAAAGAGAGAGAUGGUUUCCUAUCUCUGGAGAUGUCACUAUAGUGUUUACAUGGUUGAAGAGGAAAGGCGUGGGACAGCACUUGGGCCUACCAAGGACUUUGCAAUGGUAUGUGGGUGUCUGAUAGCCCCUAGGUGAAGAUCCCCAAAGGGCCUCUCAGUAUCUUUUUGAUGGCUGGGGUUUUUUUAUCUUAUUUAUGU